rnacentral:rRNA from 1 species
AUUGAACGCUGGCGGCAGGCCUAACACAUGCAAGUCGAACGAGUGGCGGACGGGUGAGUAAUGUCUGGGAAACUGCCUGAUGGAGGGGGAUAACUACUGGAAACGGUAGCUAAUACCGCAUACCAUCGGAUGUGCCCAGAUGGGAUUAGCUUGUAGGUGGGGUAAAGGCUCACCUAGGCGACGAUCCCUUGCUGGUAUGCGAGGAUGACCAGCCACACUGGAACUGUGACACGGUCCAGACUCCUACGGGAGGAAGCAGUGGGGAAUAUUGCACAAUGGGCGCAAGCCUGAUACAGCCAUGCCGCGGGUAUGAAGCAGGCCUUCGGGUUGUAAAGUACUUUCAGCGGGGAGGCGUUACCCGCAGAAGAAGCACCGGCUAACUCCGUGCCAGCAGCCGCGGUAAUAC